UCUUUGUGAUUUUUCUCUUUGGUUCUGACGGAUUUUCAUAUUCUGACAAAUAUCAUGGUCAUAUGACACAUGAGAAUCCCAGGUACAGGUAGACUGGUCCCAUCUACCUUCAAUGUAGCCUUGGGUGUUGAGGCAAGCAGAAUACUCCAAUGUAGUAUACCAAGAGGAGGGUGAAACUCGGCCAUAACACAGAAAUUUGACUGUGUGGUUAUCUUUAAAAUAGGGAGCAAAUACGAACUCACAAAGCUAAGUACUAUGUAAAGUGAUGUAGAAUAAGAAACUCAUUCCUUGAUGUAUUUUCCGUUGCUAUAACAGAAGCUCCGAGACAGGAUAAUUUUUAAAGCAAUGAGACUUAUUUUGACUCAUGCUUUCUGUGGCAGAAAGGUCCAAGAGCGUAGGAUUAGUGAGGACUCCCGCUGUGACCUCAGGCUGCCUCAGCUCCUGGUGAGGAAACAGAAGAGCAAGUGGAUACACACAGAAGAGACAAGCCAAGGGGGAGGGAGCCCGAAGCUUGGGUUUAGAACAUUGGUGUCUUAGUAGAUAAUCUAAUCCGGAGUGUUCCAGAACUCAAGUAAAAGAGGCAUUCACCCACGGAUGAGGCUCUACCUACAUUACUAAACACCUCCCAUGACGCCCCACCUCCCGACACUGUUUUGGGGUUUUUCUUUGUUUUUCUGGGGGGGGGUUAAUCAUUUGUUUGUUUGAGAAGCAACCCAACAUUUGGAUGAACAACAGCAGCUCAGAGAAUCAAUGGCUUUGUCGUCCACGUCUUGGGUGAAACUGGUGAUAAGCAAAUGAGAAGGACUGCGGGUCAUUCCAUAACCACAACGUGCCUAUCGAAUCUCCAUUGUAGAGAAAUGAAGGAAACUCCCCCAACGUCCUAGGUGGGCAGGGGUGAAGAAGCCACGAUGUUCAAAAACCAAACCUCAGGAACAGCCUCCAAGUUUGAAAAAAAAGUGCAUAUUUUUGUGCUGAACUGAUACUCACUUGUACCAAACCCUGGUCCUUCUGGGUUAAGCUCACCAAGAGUUUAAGGAACAGAAAAUUCUGAGACAACCUGA
rnacentral:sRNA from 1 species